CUGGAACCGGGCAAUGGAAGGUGUCGAGGAUUCCAAAGGCUGGGCUUAAGGUGGGAAGUUUUGAGAUGCCCCCACCCUGCCCCUAACAGCUGAGACACAAGAAGAAGAAACUGAGGCAGAGAGCAGCUAAGAAACUUGAUCAAGGCCACAGCUGGUCCUAGAACCAGGAUUAAGACUGCCUUCGGCUAAGACCUUCCUGCCAGAAGUUUCUCUGCCUAAGGAAUGAGGGCACACAAACUAUG